AUAAAUAUCAACUCAAAGGAAAGAUCGGAGUUGGGGAAGAAAUAUCAAUCACGGGAAGGCAUAUCCUCUGAGAUUCACAGGAACGUGAUCGAAACUAUGCUGUGUAGCUACGUAAAGUGAACCAACGCAUUGAUCGAACUCCAAAGUUUCAAUACCUGCUUUAGAGCUCUGCUGAUUUUGCUUCAUCGUGCACCGGCGACCGAUCGCAUCGGCCAUGAACUGUCUUCAAAACCUUUCAAUAUCAUCUUCUCUUCCCUUCCGGAGCUUCAAAUGCCGACAGAGAAAGCCUGAAUUCCAGCUCUCUAACCUGGUGAUAAGAAACUUUACUGAUCUACAUCGACGUUCUUCCAUGAAGGCAGUGUCUGGUUCUACAUCAAGUGCCGAAACGAGUGGUACAGAAGUGGACGAUGCCGAGGAAAAGGAGGAAAAAUCUGAAAUAUAUAGCCAUAACAUGACAGAAGCUAUGGGUGCUGUAUUGACAUAUAGGCAUGAGCUGGGAAUGAACUACAACUUCAUUCGUCCAGAUUUAAUUGUAGGAUCAUGCCUACAGACUCCAGAAGAUGUUGACAAGCUCCGCAGCAUUGGAGUAAGAACAAUUUUCUGCUUGCAGCAAGAUCCAGAUUUAGAAUAUUUUGGGGUUGACAUUGGUGCUAUAAUAGCAUAUACAAAGACGUUUGAUGAUAUUGAACAUUUGCGAGCUCAGAUAAGGGAUUUUGAUGCAUUCGACCUACGACUAAGAUUACCAGCUGUUGUAAGCAAAUUACAUAAAGCCAUAAACCGAAAUGGUGGAGUGGCUUACAUACAUUGCACUGCUGGACUUGGAAGAGCUCCCGCUGUUGCGAUGGCGUAUAUGUUUUGGGUUCAAGGCUACAAACUCAAUGAGGCGCUAGAAUUACUGCUGAGCAAACGCUCAUGCUUCCCAAAAAUAGAUGCUAUUAAAAGUGCAACUGCCGACAUACUUUCAGGAUUUAAAAAGAAGCCUGUUGCUUUAUCUUGGGAAGAUGACCAAUGCUCAACUGUAGAAGUAGCUGGACUUGAUAUUGGAUGGGGCCAGAGGAUUCCAUUAAAAUUCGACGAGGCACGAGGUGCAUGGAUUCUCAAUAGGGAACUCGCGGAAGGACGAUAUGAAUACAAGUACAUUAUCGAUGGUGUAUGGACGUGCAACGAAAACGAGCUUGUCACUCCACCAAACAAAGAUGGCCACAUCAACAAUUUCAUUGAAGUUGUUGAAGAUGAUGAUCCAGGCAGUGAUAGAGCAAUUCUUCGAAGAAGGUUAACUGGAGAUGAACCAGAACUCACGGCUGAAGAAAGAAGCAAAAUAAGGCAAUUUCUUGAAGCUUGUCCAGAUGAAAUUUGAAUGAAGCUUCAGCCAAAUCUGCAUCCAUGGCUUUCAACAAUGUGAUGUUAAAGAAUCUAGACCACAUGAAGUCCUGACGUUCUUCAAGUGGAUGCUGCUCUUCUAGUGCACCCGAACGUGGAUUUAAGUAAACCAUUCUACGCCCACUAUGGUACGCCCAUACAUUUAUCAGGAUUUCCAACAUCCGACAAUAGCAUUGCCUUCUCUGCGGAUUAAAACAAAAGCACGGGUUGGCAUCACCCAACUAUGCAGAGAAGACCAGAGAUCGCCAUCAUCAGGCAUUGGAGGAAGAGCUUCCAAAUGUGAUGGUGGUAGUCCAUACAUAUGCCUAAAGGCAUUUUUAAAUGUAGAACUGUAUGGAUGUAUGGAUGUAAUUUUAAGUGAGAAUAUCUUUAAAGUUGCAUCCGUUAAUAUAUAAUUUUAACAUCUAAUGCAAAAUUUGGAAGUUGAUGUAGUA